rnacentral:rRNA from 1 species
GACGAACGCUGGCGGCGUGCCUAACACAUGCAAGUCGAACGGGGCACCUUCGGGUGCUUAGUGGCGAACGGGUGAGUAACGCGUGAGAAACCUGCCUUUCAGUGGGGGACAACAGUUGGAAACGACUGCUAAUACCGCAUAAUGUUAUUUAGGGGCAUCCCUGAAUAACCAAAGCUUUAUGUGCUGAAAGAUGGUCUCGCGUCUGAUUAGCUAGAUGGCGGGGUAACGGCCCACCAUGGCGACGAUCAGUAGCCGGUCUGAGAGGAUGAACGGCCACAUUGGGACUGAGAUACGGCCCAGACUCCUACGGGAGGCAGCAGUGGGGAAUAUUGGGCAAUGGGGGAAACCCUGACCCAGCAACGCCGCGUGAAGGAAGAAAGCCUUCGGGUUGUAAACUUCUUUUAGCAGGGACGAAGAACGUGACGGUACCUGCAGAAAAAGCAACGGCUAACUACGUGCCAGCAGCCGCCGUAAAAC